rnacentral:rRNA from 1 species
AUUGAACGCUGGCGGCAGGCCUAACACAUGCAAGUCGAACGGUAACAGGAAGAAGCUUGCUUCUUUGCUGACGAGUGGCGGACGGGUGAGUAAUGUCUGGGAACUGCCUGAUGGAGGGGGAUAACUACUGGAAACGGUAGCUAAUACCGCAUAACGUCGCAAGACCAAAGAGGGGGACCCUCGGGCCUCUUGCCCACCGAUUGUCCCCGAUGGGAUUAGCUAGUAGGUGGGGUAACGGCUCACCUAGGCGACGAUCCCUAGCUGGUCUGAGAGGAUGACCAGCCACACUGGAACUGAGACACGGUCCAGACUCCUACGGGAGGCAGCAGUGGGGAAUAUUGCACAAUGGGCGCAAGCCUGAUGCAGCCAUGCCGCGUGUAUGAAGAAGGCCUUCGGGUUGUAAAGUACUUUCAGCGGGGAGGAAGGGAGUAAAGUUAAUACCUUUGCUCAUUGACGUUACCCGCAGAAGAAGCACCGGCUAACUCCGUG